rnacentral:rRNA from 1 species
AGAGUUUGAUCCUGGCUCAGGAUGAACGCUAGCUACAGGCUUAACACAUGCAAGUCGAGGGGCAGCAUGUUGGUUGCUUGCAACCAAUGAUGGCGACCGGCGCACGGGUGAGUAACGCGUAUCCAACCUACCCUUGUCCAUCGGAUAACCCGUCGAAAGGCGGCCUAACACGAUAUGCGGUUCUCAGCAGGCAUCUAACGAGAACGAAAUGUGAAGGAGAAGGAUGGGGAUGCGUCUGAUUAGCUUGUUGGCGGGGUAACGGCCACCAAGGCGACGAUCAGUAGGGGUUCUGAGAGGAAGGUCCCCCANAUUGGAACUGAGACACGGUCCAAACUCCUACGGGAAGGA